rnacentral:rRNA from 1 species
UACAGAGGCCUCGAGCGUUAGGCGGAAUCACUGGGCUUAAAGCGUGUGUAGGCGGACUUCUAAGUACCUUGUGAAAUCCCACGGCUCACCCGUGGAACUGCUCGGUAUACUGGUCGUCUUGAGCCUUCUAGGGGCGAGUGGAACAAAUGGUGGAGCGGUGAAAUGCGUAGAUAUCAUUUGGAACGCCAAUGGUGAAAACAACUCGCUGGGGAAGUGCUGACGCUGAGACACGAAAGCCAGGGGAGCGAACAGG